GAUGAACGCUAGCGGCAGGCUUAAUACAUGCAAGUCGAGGGGCAGCACGGGUAGCAAUACUUGGUGGCGACCGGCGCACGGGUGCGUAACACGUAUACAACCUACCUAUAACAGGGGGAUAGCCUUUCGAAAGAGAGAUUCAUACCCCGUCAUCAGUUGAGCGGCAUCGCUUGACUUUGAAAGUUCCGACGGUUCUAGCCGGGUAUGCGUCCUCUUGGCUGGUUGGUGGUGUAAUGGACCACCAAGGCGGCGAUAGGUAGGGGAUCUGAGAGGACUAACCACCACACUGGUACUGAAUCACGGCCCAGACUCCUACGGGACGCAGAAGUAAGGAAUAUUGGACAAUGGUGGCAACACUGAGCCAGCCAUGCCGCGUGCAGGAAGACGGCCCGAUGGGUUGUAAACUGCUUUUGUACCAGAGAAAACCGACUCACGUGUGAGUAGCUGAUAGUAUGGUAAGAAUAAGCAGCGGCUAACUUCGGGCCAGCCGCCGCAGUAAGAC
rnacentral:rRNA from 1 species